rnacentral:rRNA from 1 species
UAACGGCGAGUGAAGCGGCAACAGCUCAAAUUUGAAAUCUGGCGUCUUUGGCGUCCGAGUUGUAAUUUGCAGAGGGCGCUUUGGCAUUGGCAGCGGUCCAAGUUCCUUGGAACAGGACGUCACAGAGGGUGAGAAUCCCGUACGUGGUCGCUAGCCUUUACCGUGUAAAGCCCCUUCGACGAGUCGAGUUGUUUGGGAAUGCAGCUCUAAAUGGGAGGUAAAUUUCUUCUAAAGCUAAAUACUGGCCAGAGACCGAUAGCGCACAAGUAGAGUGAUCGAAAGAUGAAAAGCACUUUGGAAAGAGAGUUAAAAAGCACGUGAAAUUGUUGAAAGGGAAGCGCUUGCAGCCAGACUUGCCUGUAGUUGCUCAUCCGGGUUUUUACCCGGUGCACUCUUCUAUAGGCAGGCCAGCAUCAGUUUGGGCGGUUGGAUAAAGGUCUCUGUCAUGUACCUCUCUUCGGGGAGAACUUAUAGGGGAGACGACAUGCAACCAGCCUGGACUGAGGUCCGCGCAUCUGCUAGGAUGCUGGCGUAAUGGCUGUAAGCGGCCCGUCUUGAAACACGGACCAAGGAGUCUAACAUCUAUGCGAGUGUUUGGGUGUCAAGCCCGAACGCGUAAUGAAAGUGAACGGAGGUGGGAACCUUUCGGGGUGCACCAUCGACCGAUCCUGAUGUCUUCGGAUGGAUUUGAGUAAGAGCAUAGCUGUUGGGACCCGAAAGAUGGUGAACUAUGCUUGAAUAGGGUGAAGCCAGAGGAAACUCUGGUGGAGGCUCGCAGCGGUUCUGACGUGCAAAUCGAUCGUCAAAUUUGGGCAUAGGGGCGAAAGACUAAUCGAACUAU